GACGAACCGUGCGAACGUUGUUCGGAAUCACUGGGCUUAAAGGGCGCGUAGGCGGGCUGCCAAGUCCGGGGUGAAAUCCUCCCGCUCAACGGGAGAACGGCCCCGGGUACUGGCGGCCUCGAGGCGGGUAGGGGCGUGCGGAACACUGGGUGGAGCGGUGAAAUGCGUUGAUAUCCAGUGGAACUCCGGUGGCGAAGGCGGCACGCUGGACCCGAUCUGACGCUGAGGCGCGAAAGCCAGGGGAGCGAACGGG
rnacentral:rRNA from 1 species